UACGUAGGGUGCAAGCGUUGCCCGGAAUUAUUGGGCGUAAAGGGCUCGUAGGCGGAUCCGCCAGUCUGACGUGAAAUCUCCACCGCUCACCGGGGAGGGGCCGUUGGAUACUACGGAUCUGGAGUUCGGCAGAGGACCAUGGAAUUUCGGGUGUAGCGGUGGAAUGCGUAGAUAUCCGAAAGAACACCGGUGGCGAAGGCGGUGGUCUGGGCCUGAACUGACGCUGAGGAGCGAAAGCCAGGGGAGCAAACGGG
rnacentral:rRNA from 1 species